GAACAAAAGCUAUAAAGUCAGAGUUCAGCUCUGGAUGCUGGUGAGAUCUGGGAAGGUUUCAUGUAGGAGGAGAAGGAGGAAGAGAUAGGAUCUGUCCAGGCAUUGUAAAAUCUGAACCAGAAAGAGGGCCUCCCAGAUCAUCAGUACUACCUGAACAAAGACUCAUCUUCGAAGGACAGAAUUAGGAGCCUCCCAAGCUGAGACAGAUCUCAGCUACUGGCUGUAUGGAGUUGGAUGAGCUUCUUACCUGACCCCUGGGCUUCAGUUUUUCAUCUGCAAGAUGAAGUUUACCAGAGAAUGGGACAAACAGGAGAGAAGUUCCUCUGCUUUUAUGCCAGAUAAUCUUAGAUGAAUGUAUGAUGAUUUUACAAGGUGCACGGAAAGGACUGUAUUGAAUUACAUCAUGAGAAAGUUAUUCCCUUCUGAUCAACUCUCUUUCCCCAGUUUCUACAUUGAGGCAAAGUCUCAGUUUAAUGCUGGAAUAUUAUAACACUUG
rnacentral:lncRNA from 1 species